rnacentral:rRNA from 1 species
GGAAUCUUCCACAAUGGGCGCAAGCCUGAUGGAGCAACACCGCGUGAGUGAAGAAGGGUUUCGGCUCGUAAAGCUCUGUUGUUAAAGAAGAACGUGGGUAAGAGUAACUGUUUACCCAGUGACGGUAUUUAACCAGAAAGCCACGGCUAACUACGUGCCAG